rnacentral:rRNA from 1 species
UAGUAGCGGCGAGCGAAGCGGGAAGAGCUCAAAUUUAUAAUCUGGCACCUUCGGUGUCCGAGUUGUAAUCUCUAGAAGUGUUUUCCGCGUUGGACCGCACACAAGUCUGUUGGAAUACAGCGGCAUAGUGGUGAAACCCCCGUAUAUGGUGCGGACGCCCAGCGCUUUGUGAUACACUUUCAAUGAGUCGAGUUGUUUGGGAAUGCAGCUCAAAUUGGGUGGUAAAUUCCAUCUAAAGCUAAAUAUUGGCGAGAGACCGAUAGCGAACAAGUACCGUGAGGGAAAGAUGAAAAGCACUUUGGAAAGAGAGUUAACAGUACGUGAAAUUGUUGGAAGGGAAACGCUUGAAGUCAGACUUGCUUGCCGGAGCUUGCUUCGGUUUGCAGGCCAGCAUCAGUUUUCCGGGGUGGAUAAUGACGGUUUGAAGGUAGCAGUCUCGGCUGUGUUAUAGCUUUCCGUUGGAUACAUCCUGGGGGACUGAGGAACGCAGCGUGCUUUUUGCGAAAGACUCGUCUUUUUCACGCUUAGGAUGCUGGUGGAAUGGCUUUAAACGACCCGU